GACGAACGCUGGCGGCGUGCUUAACACAUGCAAGUCGAGCGGUAAGGCCCUUUCGGGGGGUACACGAGCGGCGAACGGGUGAGUAACACGUGGGUGACCUGCCCUCAGCUCUGGGAUAAGCCUGGGAAACUGGGUCUAAUACUGGAUAUGACUCCACGGUGCAUGUCGUGGGGUGGAAAGCCUUGUGCGGCUGAGGAUGGGCCCGCGGCCUAUCAGCUUGUUGGUGGGGUGAUGGCCUACCAAGGCGACGACGGGUAGCCGGCCUGAGAGGGCGACCGGCCACACUGGGACUGAGACACGGCCCAGACUCCUACGGGAGGCAGCAGUGGGGAAUUUUCCGCAAUGGGCGAAAGCCUGACGGAGUGACGCCGCGUGUGGGACGAAGGCCUCGGUCGUAA
rnacentral:rRNA from 1 species